rnacentral:rRNA from 1 species
GACAGAGGGUGCAAACGUUGUUCGGAAUUACUGGGCGUAAAGCGUGCGCAGGCGGCGCGUUAAGACAGGUGUGAAAGCCCCCGAGCUUAACUUGGGAAUUGCGCUUGUGACUGGCGUGCUGGAGUGUGGCAGAGGGAGGUGGAAUUCCACGUGUAGCAGUGAAAUGCGUAGAGAUGUGGAGGAACACCGAUGGCGAAGGCAGCCUCCUGGGCCAGCACUGACGCUCAUGCACGAAAGCGUGGGGAGCAAACAGG